UCCCGUUUAGCUCAGCUGGUAGAGCGCGUCACUAGUACUUUCCAAAGAGUCGAGUCUAAUGACGAGGUCAGUCGUUCAAGUCGGCUAAUGGGAA